GGAUCAUGGCUCAGUAGUAAAGUGCCUGCUUUGCACACAGAAGGUUCCAGGUUCAAUCCCUGGCAUCUCCA
rnacentral:tRNA from 1 species